UACGAAGGGGGCUAGCGUUGUUCGGAAUUACUGGGCGUAAAGCGCGCGCAGGCGGUCUUCCAAGUCAGUGGUGAAAGCCCGGAGCUCAACUCCGGAACUGCCAUUGAAACUGUUAGACUUGAGGAUGAGAGAGGUGAGUGGAAUUCCCAGUGUAGAGGUGAAAUUCGUAGAUAUUGGGAAGAACACCGGUGGCGAAGGCGGCUCACUGGCCCGGUACUGACGCUGAGGAGCGAAAGCGUGGGGAGCGAACAGG
rnacentral:rRNA from 1 species